CACAGCCUCCCGGCGUUCCUUGCAGAUAUGGAUGCAGAGAGGGAGGCCCUGCAGUCUGCCGCCUGCCCACAAGUGCAGACCUUCUGCCAAAAGCACGGCCUGACAUUCGAGGUUGUUGAUCUGAGGUGGGGAAUUCAGAACUCGGAGGCCACUGACCACAUGACCACCGAAAUCUGCUUGGAAGAGCUGGACCGGUGUCGCAAGACGUCCAUCGGGCCAGCUUUUGUUGCCCUUAUAGGUGACCAGUAUGGCCCCUGUCCGGUCCCCUCCGUGAUCGAGGAGAAGGAGUGGGAGGCUCUGAGGGCCCAGCUGAGCGCCAGGCCACGUGACCUGGAGCUGGUGGCACGACGCUUCCGGAGAGACGAGAACUCAGUUCCUCCUACCUACGUCCUGCAGGCGACAGGUGGCAGGGAGGCUCCUGGGCCUGAGGAGGCCACUCUGACCUCUGUCCUUCGCUCUGGAGCUCAGGAGGCCUGGAGGCGGGGCCUCAUCAGCCAGGAGCAGUGGCACCGCCACCACCGGUCAGGCAUGGUCUCUCGGAGGCGGAGCUGAAAGACGUCUUGUCCUUGGACGAUGAGGUGCUGCAGGUGGUGUACCGGGACUGGACCCCCCCCAGCAAGGAGCUGCUGCGCUUCCCGCCCCUGCUGUGGGUGCGGCUUCG
rnacentral:lncRNA from 1 species